GACAGAGGAUGCAAGCGUUGUCCGGAUUUACUGGGCGUAAAGGGAGCGUAGGCGGAUUUUUAAGUGGGAUGUGAAAUACCCGGGCUUAACCUGGGUGCUGCAUUCCAAACUGGAAGUCUAGAGUACAGGAGGGGAAAGUGGAAUUCCUAGUGUAGCGGUGAAAUGCGUAGAGAUUAGGAAGAACACCGGUGGCGAAGGCGACUUUCUGGACUGUAACUGACGCUGAGGCUCGAAAGCGUGGGGAGCAAAC
rnacentral:rRNA from 1 species